rnacentral:miRNA from 1 species
ACCUUCUCCAUUAGACGAAA